GCCUGCUUUGGCAGUACAUACACUAAAGUUGGAAUGACACAGAGAUUAGCAUGGCCCCUGCACAAGGAUGACAAGCAAAUUUGUGAAGUGUUCCAUAUUUUU